rnacentral:rRNA from 1 species
CCUACGGGUGGCAGCAGUGGGGAAUAUUGGGCAAUGGGCGCAAGCCUGACCCAGCAACGCCGCGUGAAGGAAGAAGGCUUUCGGGUUGUAAACUUCUUUUGUCAGGGACGAAGCAAGUGACGGUACCGGACGAAUAAGCCACGGCUAACUACGGGCCAGCAGCCGCGGUAAGACGGAGGUGGCAAGCGUUAUCCGGAUUUACUGGGUGUAAAGGGCGUGUAGGCGGGACUGCAAGUCAGAUGUGCAAACCAGGGGCUCCACCUGUGGCCUGCCUUGGAAACUGUAGUUCUUGAGUACUGGAGAGGCAGACGGAAUUCCUAGUGUAGCGGUGAACUGCGUAGAUAUUAGGCGGAACACCAGUGGCGAAGGCGGUCUGCUGGACCGCAACUGACGCUGAGGCGCGACAGCGUGGGGAGCAAACAGGAUUAGAUACCCCAGUAGUC